rnacentral:siRNA from 1 species
UGGGUGUGUCUCGUAUAUCCC